AGAGUUUGAUCCUGGCUCAGGAUGAACGCUAGCUACAGGCUUAACACAUGCAAGUCGAGGGGCAGCAUAACGAAAGCUUGCUUUUGUUGAUGGCGACCGGCGCACGGGUGAGUAACGCGUAUCCAACCUUCCCUGUAGUAGAGGAUAGCCCGGCGAAAGUCGGAUUAAUACUCUAUGUUGUAUUUAGAGGACAUCUGAAGAAUACCAAAGGUUUACCGCUAUAGGAUGGGGAUGCGUCUGAUUAGGUUGUUGGCGGGGUAACGGCCCACCAAGCCCACGAUCAGUAGGGGUUCUGAGAGGAAGGUCCCCCACAUUGGAACUGAGACACGGUCCAAACUCCUACGGGAGGCAGCAGUGAGGAAUAUUGGUCAAUGGACGUAAGUCUGAACCAGCCAAGUAGCGUGCAGGAUGACGGCCCUAUGGGUUGUAAACUGCUUUUAUAUGGGGAUAAAGUGAGGGACGUGUCCCUUUUUGUAGGUACCAUAUGAAUAAGGACCGGCUAAUUCCGUGCCAGCAGCCGCGGUAAUACGGAAGGUCCGGGCGUUAUCCGGAUUUAUUGGGUUUAAAGGGAGCGCAGGCUGAUGAUUAAGCGUGACGUGAAAUGUAGCCGCUCAACGGCUGAACUGCGUCGCGAACUGGUUAUCUUGAGUGAGUUCGAUGUUGGCGGAAUUCGUGGUGUAGCGGUGAAAUGCUUAGAUAUCACGAAGAACUCCGAUUGCGAAGGCAGCCAACAAGGCCUUUACUGACGCUAAAGCUCGAAGGUGCGGGUAUCGAACAGGAUUAGAUACCCUGGUAGUCCGCACGGUAAACGAUGGAUGCCCGCUGUUUGCGAUAUACUGUGAGCGGCCAAGAGAAAUCGUUAAGCAU
rnacentral:rRNA from 1 species